CUUUCCACCAGCUUGGCUAUGCUGGCUACCAACGUAGAAGUGUUGGUUAGCUGCUCCCCAAAGGAAUCAAUCUUGGCAGUUAGUUUUUAAUGGCAUUGACUAGGUUCUCAUGUGACUGGUUCUGUCCUGGUUUGAUCGUAAUGGGCUGACCCGUGGAUUUGGUUGGAAUGACUCUCUUACCGGAGCCACUGGUAGACGUUUCCAUCGAAGUAUAAUCAUGUCCAGUCAUGCUAGCUUGAUUAUGGACCAGCUUAGCAUUAGGCUUCCCACUCACGAUAUGUUAUUUCGACUGAAACACCAGGCUUUAAGUCACACUGUUAAACAGGCGACACACAUUCAAUCAACUCGACGGCCAAUGCAGGUUUUAAGGGUACAUUCCAGGGCAGUUGGAAUAGAGCUUAUAGGAGUGAACUUGUCAGCGCCGCCAUAUCUGAUUCCAGAUGGAUAGGACUACAUCCGUCUGGCGAAAAUCAGGUUAUGUCUCGUUGCCAUCUUGAAGUCUUCUGAUCAGCUCUGCUUCUGUCACAGAUUUCCUGAGUCUCAUCUCCAUCCGCUCCAACCUGCCAGCACUCACAGGCGGCUCUGUUUACCUGAAAUGAAGCCCAGGACCAACAUGAUCUUCUUCUAUGUUGUUGACUUGUUGAUGUUUUCCUCUGCUGUUGAACAUGGGAUAACGAGCCUGGCAGGAGUUGUUGGAGGAAGCGUCACUCUGCCGGAUCCUGUGCUCCGCUUUGGAUUUCUUUCACAUGGAAGAAGAACUGUUGCUGCGGUGAAUAACAGAGUCCUGGAAAUAUUAGAAGACCUUUAUAAAGAAAACCUGAGGUGGAACCAGGAAACCGGACACUUUAUGAUCACAGACCUGCAGAAGAACCACUCUGGAGUUUAUUGCGUUGAGUCUAAACGAGGACGUGUUUUCAGAUCUACUCACAAUCUCAUAGUCUACGACUCUGCCCCGACUCCAGCUGUAGAAACUCUGAAUGUGAGCCUUGACAGCUGCCUUUUGCUCUGCUCUGUGGAUAAACUGGCGACUCUGUCUUGGUUCAGAGACAGUCAGCUUCUGAACCACAGCAUCUCCACCUUCUCGUUAACCAUCACUGUAGACAAACUGGACCUCAACUCCACUUUCAGGUGUGCAUCUGCCAACCCUGCAGAGGAAAAGGCCGUUAAUGUCAACAUGACCCAAUCCUGCAGAGCAGAGAGAGAAGUCAGCAGUAAUUUAGAAAUCUAUUUGUGGGCAAUCACAAUUCCCAUCAAGUUAACUGUGCUAAUAGCACUGACUGCAGCUCAGGCUGCACUUCAUUAACAGCAGAGACAUCAAAUACAUGCCAGGGAGGAGUCUGCAGAUUCAUCAGGAACAAACUCAGUCAAAGCGACCAAAGAGUUACCAACAAUGUAGAAGUUAAAACUCAGUGGUUUCUACCAUUUUCUGUUAAAUAUUGGUGUUUAUAACUAUAUUUCUAUCUAAUUUCCCUCCAGGAUUAAUAAAGUGUCAUCCGAUGUACAGCUAUGAUACUGCUAAUCUGUUUUAUUCAGUCUGAUAAAUCUGUUCAUGGUCACCAAAACUAGUAUGGUCAGUGUGUGUGAGA